rnacentral:lncRNA from 1 species
AAUAAUUAAAUGGAACGUAUUAUAAUGAUCUAAUUAUUAAGAAAUGUGUAUUGGUCAUCUUUGGAAUCUUGAACAACAAGAGUAGUUUGGCAAUGUGCUCUGCUGCAAAAGAGUACACAUCAAGGCAUCCAGCUCAGCCAAAACAGAAGCCAACCUAUAUCCACAUUCUUUCUCUAUCCAUCUCUCUGUUUUGGACAACUCCAUCACUCGUUGACUUCCUUUGGCGAUCAAACUUCUAAAGAAUUGAAGUGUCACUCUCCUUCCGAUCUUAUGGUCAGAUGAUUCUUCCAUUUGGGUGAUAAACUUUCUAUAAUCCUUCCAAAAUAAAGUUUUUUCUUCAGCUGCUACUUGGAUGUUUUCAACAAUCACAUCUUUAAUCGCCUUCCUCAAA